UACGUAGGGUGCAAGCGUUGUCCGGAAUUAUUGGGCGUAAAGAGCUCGUAGGCGGUUCCUUAAGUCGGGUGUGAAAUCUCAGGGCUCAACUCUGAAACUGCACCCGAUACUGGGGAACUUGAGGCAGGUAGGGGAGAUCGGAAUUCCUGGUGUAGCGGUGAAAUGCGCAGAUAUCAGGAGGAACACCGGUGGCGAAGGCGGAUCUCUGGGCCUGUUCUGACGCUGAGGAGCGAAAGCGUGGGGAGCAAACAGG
rnacentral:rRNA from 1 species